rnacentral:rRNA from 1 species
UUCCUCAAUCGAGUGGCGAACGGGUGAGUAACGCGUGAGGAACCUGCCUCAAAGAGGGGGACAACAGUUGGAAACGACUGCUAAUACCGCAUAAGCCCACGACCCGGCAUCGGGUUGAGGGAAAAGGAGCAAUCCGCUUUGAGAUGGCCUCGCGUCCGAUUAGCUAGUUGGUGAGGUAACGGCCCACCAAGGCAACGAUCGGUAGCCGGACUGAGAGGUUGAACGGCCACAUUGGGACUGAGACACGGCCCAGACUCCUACGGGAGGCAGCAGUGGGGGAUAUUGGACAAUGGGGGGAACCCUGAUCCAGCGACGCCGCGUGAGGGAAGAAGGUUUUCGGAUUGUAAACCUCUGUUGACGGAGAAAAAAAUGAUGGUAUCCGUUUAGAAAGCCACGGCUAACUACGUGCCAGCAGCCGCGGUAAUACGUAGGUGGCAAGCGUUGUCCGGAAUUACUGGGUGUAAAGGGAGUGUAGGCGGGAUAUCAAGUCAGAAGUGAAAAUUACGGGCUCAACUCGUAACCUGCUUUUGAAACUGACAU